CUCCUCUCGACUCUAUAGGGGCAUAGCAUUUUUUUGAUUCAGCAAUUUGUUUUCAUUGGUCAACACAUCAAUUGUUCACAAAAUUAAACUACAAAACAAUCUAGCUAAGGUUUUACUAACAUGGAUCAUGUAAUAUGAUAGGUUGCUCGAUUUGAUGAAACACAAUCAAUAAGAAAACUAGAAGACUUAUGGAAUUUCAUCACACGAAAAAAUACAAUUUAUUUUUCUAUAAUCUAUAAUUUUUUGCUUUUAUUCCGAUUAUAACUUUGAUAAUGAUGAAUCAUGAAUGACGAUGGGGUUAUCUCAUUCAAAUCAUUUGUACUUUAUAGUCUAUAUUGGUUCCUCUC